CAACCUGCCCUCCACUUCGGGAUAAGCCUUGGAAACGAGGUCUAAUACCGGAUACGAGCACUUACCGCAUGGUGGGUGUUGGAAAGUUUUUCGGUGGGGGAUGGGCUCGCGGCCUAUCAGCUUGUUGGUGGGGUAAUGGCCUACCAAGGCGUCGACGGGUAGCCGGCCUGAGAGGGCGACCGGCUAUACUGGGACUGAGACACGGCCCAGACUCCUACGGGAGGCAGCAGUGGGGAAUAUUGCACAAUGGGCGAAAGCCUGAUGCAGCGACGCCACGUGAGGGAUGACGGCCUUCGGGUUGUAAACCUCUUUCAGCAGGGAAGAAGCGCAAGUGACGGUACCUGCAGAAGAAGCGCCGGCUAACUACGUGCCAGCAGCCGCGGUAAUACGUAGGGCGCAAGCGUUGUCCGGAAUUAUUGGGCGUAAAGAGCUCGUAGGCGGUCUGUCGCGUCUGGUGUGAAAUCCCAUGGCUCAACCAUGGGCUUGCAUCGGGUACGGGCAGACUAGAGUGCUGUAGGGGAGACUGGAAUUC
rnacentral:rRNA from 1 species